rnacentral:rRNA from 1 species
GACGAACGGCUGGCGGCGUGGAUUAGGCAUGCAAGUCGAACGGUAGGAUCCUUUCGGGGAUCUGAGAGUGGCGAACGGGUGAGUAACACGUAGGUGAUCUACCCUCAAGACGGGGACAACCCAGGGAAACUUGGGCUAAUACCGGAUGUGAGCUAUCGCGAGAUAGUUUGAAAGGUGGCUUCGGCUGCCGCUUGAGGAUGAGCCUGCGUCCUAUUAGCUAGUUGGUGAGGUAACGGCUCACCGAGGCAGUGAUAGGUAGGCGGCCUUAACGGGUGGUCGCCCACACUGGGAUUGAGAUACGGCCCAGACUCCUACGGGAGGCAGCAGUCGAGAAUAGUCUACAAUGGUCGAAAGACUGAUAGUGCGACGCCGCGUGAACGAAGAAGCCCUUCGGGGUGUAAAGUUCUUUUAUAUGUGAGCAGUGACACCCAUAUUAAUAGUAUGGGUGUAGAGAUAUUAGCAUAUGAAUAAGCAACGGCUAACUCCGUG